rnacentral:tRNA from 1 species
GAUGAGGUAGCCAAGUGCUUAUAGUAAUGGGCUGCUAAUCUAUUGUGCUAUGCACACAUGGGUUCAAAUCCUAUUCUCACA